ACUUAAAUUGAAGAGUUUGAUCAUGGCUCAGAUUGAACGCUGGCGGCAGGCCUAACACAUGCAAGUCGAGCGGGG
rnacentral:rRNA from 1 species